GAUGAACGCUGGCGGCGUGCCUAAUACAUGCAAGUCGAGCGAACGGACGAGAAGCUUGCUUCUCUGAUGUUAGCGGCGGACGGGUGAGUAACACGUGGAUAACCUACCUAUAAGACUGGGAUAACUUCGGGAAACCGGAGCUAAUACCGGAUAAUAUUUUGAACCGCAUGGUUCAAAAGUGAAAGACGGUCUUGCUGUCACUUAUAGAUGGAUCCGCGCUGCAUUAGCUAGUUGGUAAGGUAACGGCUUACCAAGGCAACGAUGCAUAGCCGACCUGAGAGGGUGAGCGGCCACACUGGAAGUGAGACACGGUCCAGACGACUACGGGAGGCAGCAGUAGGGAAUCUUCCGCAAUGGGCGAAAGCCUGACGGAGCAACGCCGCGUGAGUGAUGAAGGUCUUCGGAUCGUAAAACUCUGUUAUUAGGGAAGAAAAUAUGUGUAAGUAACUGUGCACAUCUUGACGGUACCUAAUCAGAAAGCCACGGCUAACUACGUG
rnacentral:rRNA from 1 species